UAGGGAAUCUUCCGCAAUGGGCGAAAGCUUGACGGAGCAACGCCGCGUGAGUGAUGAAGGUCUUCGGAUCGUAAAACUCUGUUAUUAGGGAAGAACAAAUGUGUAAGUAACUAUGCACGUCUUGACGGUACCUAAUCAGAAAGCCACGGCUAACUACGUGCCAGCAGCCGCGGUAAUACGUAGGUGGCAAGCGUUAUCCGGAAUUAUUGGGCGUAAAGCGCGCGUAGGCGGUUUUUUAAGUCUGAUGUGAAAGCCCACGGCUCAACCGUGGAGGGUCAUUGGAAACUGGAAAACUUGAGUGCAGAAGAGGAAAGUGGAAUCCCAUGUGUGGCGGUGAAAUGCGCAGAGAUAUGGAGGAACACCAGUGGCGAAGGCGACUUUCUGGUCUGUAACUGACGCUGAUGUGCGAAAGCGUGGGGAUCAAACAGG
rnacentral:rRNA from 1 species